CCACCUUAUCCCCCUUCGAAGUGAAGGUCUACGGCUGCACGCCUGCACCUCAUUCACACGUGCAGGCACACGCACGCAUACCAACAUACAACGAGGCAAGCAGUGGGUCACGAGGCUCUCCUGCGGCCUCUUCUUCCCCCCUCUCGCCUCCUAGGCACUGUGAGGGCUUUGACCACUGAUCAGCCUCCCUCAUGUCGCUAGCGCCGUCGCUCCAGCUUACGGGCCUCACGCAGGCCGUCAUCCAAGGCGACCUCUCCGCCUUGAUGGAGAACGUCACUCCGUCCAACGUCAACUAUACAGAUCCUCACUACCGCCUAUCGCUGGUGAUGUGGGCCGUUGCUCUCGGUCGUCUUCCGACGACACAGCUGCUGCUCAGUCGAGGCGCCUCGCUGGCACAGGUGGACCGGCAGGGGUUCACGAUCCUGCACCGUGCCGUGUGGAGUGCCGACGUGCCGGUCAUUCACAUGGUACUCUUCACUACCCCCAUGUCGGCCCUCGCCUCUUCUGCUGAUGCCCGUGCUCGCGCCACAGGCGCAUACACCCCCGCCUCCUCUUCGCCGUCGGCGUCGCCUUCGCUGCUGACGUGGCGCCCCGGCGCGCAGCGCCUCGUGAACGCCGUGCACUCAGCCACCGGGCGCACGCCGCUGAUGCUGGCGGCUCUGUCUGGGCAGGUGGACGUGGUUCGCUAUCUACUUGUCACCUGCGCCGCUGAUCCGUACCCGCGGGACUCGUACGGCCUCACCGCCGUGGAUCUGGCGGCGCUGUGCGGGCACCUGCACAUUGUGCAGCUGCUGCUGAACCUGACGGUGGCGCCGAACGGGGCCGGUGGCAACGCCUCAGACGUGUUCCCCACGACGCAGUGCAGCGCCGAGGAUUACAUCGAAAUCGCCAAAACCAUUCCGCAGCGGGAGCGUUUGUGCGCAGUCAACAAGCUUCUCAACGAGAACCUCGCCGAGGCCUCGCGCGUGGCGGCGGCAUGAAGCAGUGCAGCGUGUAAGUGGAAUGGUCCGCCUCCGAUGUUUGGAUGUGUGGCUAACAACGGUGCUGCUGCUGCUUCCUUGUCCCUCCCCCUCGCGCGCAUCGCCAUGGCCCAAUCAUUGUGUGUUCACGUUCGCGCGCGUGCUUCGCUUCUUCCUUUCGUUGUUUUACCGAUGUCUCAUAGAGCGCUUUUGUUGUCACGUCUCCUCUCAAUAUGAUAAGCCCACCCAUGUGCGCCGACACACUUGCUGCGUGUAGACUCAUGCUUGACCUGGGGCCUGUCUACCACCCCUCAGCUCUCUAUCCCUCUCCGUCUGCGUGCCCUCCUGUAGCGCCAAGGUCUGCCGUGUUGCCCACCCACCCCAUGCGCAAAGCCGAGAAGGUGGACAUGCACACACGCGCACAUAAAGACACCCACUAUGCUUCCUUUUCUCCCCCAAACCGCGUGGACAUACUGGAUCCUCGACUUGCUUGCAUACUCUCCCUCCCCACCCAUCCACCCUCCUCUCACUCGUCAUCGACCUUUGUCUUCGCACUCUCGCUACUGUCGCCGCUCAUCCCUGCAG
rnacentral:misc_RNA from 1 species